rnacentral:lncRNA from 1 species
AGUUCAGCUCCUUCAGGAACCGCCAGCAUCCCACAGACUUGGCCCAUCAGAUUUCCAUCUCUGGGGAAUUCCCACCGCGCUCCUUCUCCACCCGCUCCCAGAGCCGCAGUGAGGAAGGCACCACGUCGGGGAUGGCGAGAGGGACAUCACUUAAAACACCCGCAGCUCAGCAACGUGGGAACACCAUCGCGUUUGUGCUCACCCAACAGAAAACAGAUCGGCCUUUUCCUUCCUGCACCUCAGCGGCACGGAGGGAAGCGCUGGCCUGAUUGCUCGCUGCAGCAAGCGGACUCGGUGAGGUGUCCCCAGCGCGACCGUAUGCCCGGGAGCUGGUGGCCAGCAUGGUGAUAGCCACGCAGAGCCACGCUGUGCUCAGCAGCCAUGGGGGCUGUAGCUGCCGAGCAGCCGGCCAGAAGAGCUGGGCAGCCAACACAUCCCUUCAGGAUUGCAUCAU